rnacentral:rRNA from 2 species
AGGGUUUGAUCCUGGCUCAGGAUGAACGCUAGCGGCGCGCUUAACACAUGCAAGUCGCGCGAUCGGACCAGACCAAAGUCCUUCGGGACAAUGGACUGGUUACGGAGCGGCGGACGGGUGAGUAACACGUAGCUAACCUACCUUCAUGGAGGGGCAUAGCAUCGGGAAACCGCUGUUAAUACCCCAUAAUAUUACUUUUGUAAUCAAAAUGGCUUCGGCUAUGCCUGAAGAGGGGGCUGCGUCCUAUUAGCUAGACGGUGAGAUAAAAGCUCACCGUGGCAAAGAUAGGUAGGGGGCCUGAGAGGGCGACCCCCCACACUGGGACUGAGACACGGCCCAGACUCCUACGGGAGGCUGCAGUGGGGAAUCUUGCGCAAUGGGCGAAAGCCUGACGCAGCGACGCCGCGUGGAGGACGAAGGCCUUCGGGUUGUAAACUCCUUUUCUGGGGGGCGAAUAAGGUGAGCAGGCAAUGGUUCACCGAUGACGGUACCCCAGGAACAAGCGCCGGCUAACUUCGUGCCAGCAGCCGCGGUAAGACGAAGGGCGCAAGCGUUAUCCGGAAUUACUGGGCGUAAAGGGCGUCUAGGUUGCCUAUUAAGUCGAUUAGUGAAAGUCCUCGGCUAAACUGAGGAAAGUCUGUCGAAACUGAUAGGCUCGAGGGACGUAGAGGGAGGCGGAACUCUCGGAGUAGCGGUGGAAUGCGUAGAUACCGAGAGGUACCCCGAUGGUGAAGACAGCCUCCUGGGCGUCACCUGACACUGAAGCGCUAAGGCCAGGGGAGCAAAGGGGAUUAGAUACCCCCGUAGUCCUGGCUUCAAACGAUGUGGGCUUGGUGUCGGCUCCCGAAGAGAGUCGUUGCCGGAGCUAACGUGUUAAGCCGCUCCCGAAGAGAGUCGUUGCCGGAGCUAACGUGUUAAGCCCACCGCCUGGGGAUUACGUCCGCAAGGAUGAAACUCAAGGGAAUUGACGGGGGCCCACACAACCGGUGGAGCACGUGGUUUAAUUCGAUGAUAAGCGAAGAACCUUACCAGGACUUGACAUGUCGGUAGUAGGACCCUGAAAAGGGAACGAACCAAAGCUUUGCUUUGGUAGCCGUCACAGGUAUUGCAUGACUGUCGUCAGCUCGUGUCGUGGGACGUUGGGUUAAGUCCCGUAACGAGCGCAACCCCUGCCCUUAAUUGCCAGCGCAUUUGGCGGGUACUAUAAGGGGACUGCCGGAGAAUAUCCGGAGGAAGGAGGGGACGACGUCAAGUCAUUAUGAUCCUUAUGUUCUGGGCGACACACGUGCUACAAUGGGCACUACAGUGGGGGGCCAAUCCGCAAGGAUGAGCAAAUCCCAAAAAGGUGCCCCCAGUGCGGAUUGGGGUCUGCAACCCGACCCCAUGAAGAUGGAAUCGGUAGUAAUCGCGGGUCAGCCAUACCGCGGUGAAUGCGUACUUGGGCCUUGUACACACCGCCCGUCACACCAACCGAGUAGGCGACACCCAAAGUCGACUUAUGUUGCCGAAGGUGUUACCUGCAAGGGGGGUGAAGUCGUAACAAGGUAGCCG